rnacentral:rRNA from 1 species
UAAAGAGCUCGUAGGUGGUUUGUCGCGUUGUUCGUGAAAUCUCACAACUCAAUUGUGAGCGUGCGGGCGAUACGGGCAGACUGGAGUACUGCAGGGGAGACUGGAAUUCCUGGUGUAGCGGUGGAAUGCGCAGAUAUCAGGAGGAACACCGGUGGCGAAGGCGGGUCUCUGGGCAGUAACUGACGCUGAGGAGCGAAAGCGUGGGGAGCGAACAGGAUUAGAUACCCUGGUAGUCCACGCCGUAAACGGUGGGUACUAGGUGUGGGUUUCCUUCCUUGGGAUCCGUGCCGUAGCUAACGCAUUAAGUACCCCGCCUGGGGAGUACGGCCGCAAGGCUAAAACUCAAAGAAAUUGACGGGGGCCCGCACAAGCGGCGGAGCAUGUGGAUUAAUUCGAUGCAACGCGAAGAACCUUACCUGGGUUUGACAUGCACAGGACGACGGCAGAGAUGUCGUUUCCCUUGUGGCCUGUGUGCAGGUGGUGCAUGGCUGUCGUCAGCUCGUGUCGUGAGAUGUUGGGUUAAGUCCCGCAACGAGCGCAACCCUUGUCUCAUGUUGCCAGCGGGUAAUGCCGGGGACUCGUGAGAGACUGCCGGGGUCAACUCGGAGGAAGGUGGGGAUGACGUCAAGUCAUCAUGCCCCUUAUGUCCAGGGCUUCACACAUGCUACAAUGGCCGGUACAAAGGGCUGCGAAGCCGUGGGGUGGAGCGAAUCCUUUAAAGCCGGUCUCAGUUCGGAUCGGGGUCUGCAACUCGACCCCGUGAAGUUGGAGUCGCUAGUAA